CUGCCACAGGCCAGUGCCAGCUCUCAACAAUGCAGCAACAAACCCACCACCAAGCUCUCCUUCUCAUUCCAAAAUUGGUGAAAAAGCCGCCUCUCAAAGCUCUCUCGCUCUUCAAUUCCUCAAUUCAUCAAGGCUUUCACCCCACUCACCAGUCCAUUUCCUUUAUUCUUCACCACCUUCUUAGCUCCAACAUGCUAUCCCACGCCCAAUCUUUCCUUCUCCAAUUGAUCUCUAAUCGAAUUUCCUCUCCUUUCUUCACUGUUUCAUCUCUUCUCCACCAUCUAACACAACCAAUCUCUUAUCCAAGCCCAAUAAUGGGUGCCUUCCUCUAUGAAUCAAUCAUCAAUGCUUAUGUUCUAUCUCGCUCAAUAGAGCAAGCUCUGUUCUAUUUUAAUCAAAUGGUUGAUAAAGGCCUUGUCCCUAGACCCAAUACUUUCAAUUGUCUUUUGGAUUACCUUGUUAAAUCUAGCUGUUUUGAGAGAUCGUGGUUAUUUUUUCAUGAAUCAAAGGAAAAGGUUAAGUUGGAUGUGUAUAGUUAUGGGAUAAUGAUCAAGGGUUGUUGUGAGGCUGGUGAUUUGAAUAGAGGUUUUGAGCUAUUGGUUCAAUCAGAGGAGAUGGGAUUUUCCCCGAAUGUUGUCAUAUAUACUACAUUAAUUGAUGGGUGUUGUAAGAAUAAAGAUGUUCAAAGAGCAAAACAGUUGUUUUAUAAGAUGGAAGAACUGGGUUUGGCUGCUAAUCAGUAUACUUACACAGUUUUGAUCAAUGGGUUCUUUAAGAAGGGACUUAAAAAAGAUGGGUUUGAGUUAUACGAGAAGAUGCAGCUUGAUGGGGUGCUUCCUAAUUUAUAUACCUAUAAUUGUAUGAUAAAUGAGUGCUGCAAUGAAAGAAAGAUAAAUAAAGCUUAUGAACUGUUUGAUGAAAUGUGUAAGAGAGGUGUGACAUCUAAUGUUGUUACCUACAAUACCUUGAUUCGUGGGUUAUGUAGAGAGAUGAGGAUUUGGGAGGCUGAGAAUUUGGUGGGUCUAAUGAAGAGAGCUAGCAUCAACUCGAAUUUAGUCACAUAUAACACUCUAAUACAUGGGUUUUGUAGUAUCGGAAGGUUGGAUAAAGCUUUGAGUUUGUUUGACCGUUUGAAGUCAAAUGGUAUAUCUCCAUCUUUGGUAACUUAUAAUGUUCUGAUCGAAGGAUAUUCUAAUGCUGGAAACUGGGUGCGUGUCACUGAUUUUGUGAGGGAGAUGGAG
rnacentral:misc_RNA from 1 species